rnacentral:lncRNA from 1 species
AACUCUAUUGCAAUAUAUCUAAUGACAAAAGAAAGCACCAUAUAAAGAACAAACUGUCUGGUUUGAAAUUUAGAGCAAAAUGAAGGUAAAACUAAUGAAGUUUUUGCAGAAUCAGAACUCCUAGUAAUAGUUCAGCUUGCGUACUAGGAUUAAUCAUGUUGAUGACAAUCAACUCUCAAACUUCUCACGCGCAUUCCACAACUUCAUUAUGUGUGCAACUCCUUCUUUCAACCCCAUUCUCUCGAUACAGAUAAAAGCACCUCUCUCCCUUAAACCUUGCGUGAAAAUACAUCAAAGCACUAAUUAACUAGAGCAAAGGGAAAAAACAUGAAGAUUGCACAUAAAAUUGUUGUUCAUACAGUUUUGAUUGGCAGGUUGAGACUGAAAUCAUCUUUUCAUGUUAUAGAAAUACUUACAGCAAAAUCGCAUUGCUUCAUUAUAAAUAAAUAUUUAUGAGGAUGAAUUAAAAAGGUAAAAUGCUCACAUGGAUUGCUUCUUUACGGGCUUCCUCCACCUCAUC